AAUUUUAUUAACCACCAUACUGCAAACAUAGUAUACAUACUCUAAAGGGAAACGGGGGAAAUCUUGUAACUUUAUUCCAAAUAAGAGAUUACCCAACAAGUGUACUCUUUAAUUGUUAGUAUUCAUUGCCACUCUUAGACAGGAAGCGCCGCAGCUAAAAUCUUUAGAAGCAUCUGCAGUAUGUUCAGAGCAAACCCUUUCUGGUAGGUAUGAAAGGUUAUCAAGAACAGCAUUCUCACAUAUGAUUAAAUACAGUACCUUAAACUGAGGUACCUGAGUGGGGAUUCAUAUUUGACAGAUUUAAAUGUGGGCAUUUAAUUGCCCAUGUUACCUGGGCAAUACAGGGGAAACUGAGAGAGCAGGAAUAUUUUGCUAUAAAUUUGUAAGUGAGAAGCACUGUGCCACACAGUUGUGAUUUGAUAAAGCAUCUCUAUUGGUGCUUAAAGCUGACCUUUAAAUACUUUGCUGCCUGAGGAGACUGUGGUGACACAGAAGCAUAAAAUGAUAUAAUUUUAUUUUUCUAGUAUGUAAAAAUAAGCCAAAUACUGCCAUUUUUCAGAUGCAGAACCAUUUCUUUCAUUAAUUACUCAAACCUUCAAAGGGUUUAAACAUGAAGGACUCCUGUCUAUUGCACUAAGCUAUCUAUGAAUGAAAGUAACCUAGCAUGAAGGUAAGACUGCAGUCUGUGUUAUUUGUAUUGUGGUCAUGUGGUAAUAGUAUCAAAUGCUAUUUGAUUAAAAGUUGUUCAAAUGUAAUGUGCUGAAAUAUGAAAUACAUCUCUUGCUAUAUUAAAAAGGCCAUUUAAAGGCAUUUAAAAGGGUUUUUUUUCUGUUCACUUGGACAAAUCAGUCCUCAGAUACCCUUAGCAGGUCUAAGUUAUAAAAAAGGCUUUAUAUAGCCUGCUAUGAUGAUAGCAAUGUAUGCAUAAUAAUAAUAAAUAAUCAUCAGUAAUAAUAAUAUUGCUCACAACUGAAGAAAUAAAUUAUUUCUGUUUGAAGAGCUUGUAUUGGCAAUAGUAUUGCUAGUUUAAAAAGCUGUUGAAAAUUAAUAGAUUGAAAUAUAUUUUUCAUAUUUUGAAAUACUUGAAGGAUGACUAGUAUUAAUUUUUUUCCACUCUCCCCUUCAGAAUUCUUUGAAAGAAAGAACCACUCCAUGAAGACUUGAAAACAUUGCUGCCAAGAAGAACAAAUGUUUCCUGCUCUUCAGUUCUUGACAUUUUAUCAUCUUAUCCAGCAAUUCAAUUAAUCAUUUGCCCAACUCUGAGCACAGUAACAGUCCUACUGACAGCCUGCUAUAAACUGUUGGUAAGUCUGAUGGAUCGUUUAAAACUGCAAGAACCCAGAAAAAAUAGGUUGUGUUAAUUUUAAAAGGUUGAUAUCAAAAACAGUGUUUUCAAUGGACAGACACCACUUAGCUAGCAGAACCUGCUGUCCAACUCAAAAAACCAUGAGAAUGUUAAUGAUGUUGCCCUGAAUAAACAAAAUGUGAAAAUACAUCUUUAAGCAAAAAAUUAAUUUUAACAGUGAAUUUUUCACAAUAAACUGUAAGGGUUACAUUAUGUCUAUAAAUUCAGCUGAAAUCCAUCCAGCUUCUAAAGAGGAAUGCAUAAGUCACUCUGUGUAACAAAUAUAGCUGACCUGAAUUUUUUCUCCCCCUUCUGCUAUUUUCCACCUUGUGUAGCUAUUUGCCACCUGUCCUGGAUACCACCUUUACACAGUUAAAUCCAAAAGUGCAAGUGACCACUAGGACUGACACUUUCCUGGGAAGACCCUAGAGUAAGGCAGUCAAGCAGCCUGCUGAACCAAGUGCUCCCCAACAGAAGGAUAGCACUGCCAACAAGCUCAUCAACUCUAAGGGGUGAAGUAAUUGCUCACAUUCUGCAGCACUUUCAUCAUGUUUCCCCGGUCCACGUACUCCAUCACAAGUAGCUGUGGAUGUCGAAAUCUCUUGACUGGGGUGAGAUCUGGGCAGAGCUGAAAGAGCCUUGGAACAAGAAGGAUCAAGAUCCACUCCACUACUUCUUGUACAGUGCUAGCCUGGAUUAUGAGCACAGGCCUGAGGAUAUGGCGGCAUUCAUUUAGUAAGAAGGUAAGUCUUACUAUGCCUAAUAACGAUUAGAGGAAAUUGUUCUUGUUUUGUUUGUUGUGGUAGGGGUUUUUAUGGGUGGUUGUUUUUGGGGUUUUUUAAUGAAGAUUUUUGUUUGUUUGUUUUUGGGUUUUUGUUUUUCCUUUACAGCCAAUCAAAUGGCAGGCAACAAACGACUCAUAGCAGUGCCAUUGCUGCUUUCAUAGCUGAGCUUUCAUCUCCCUGAAAGUUUUUGAUGAUGGUCCUCUGGAUUUACUGGUGUGGUCAUACUGACUUUUGUGCAGAUGGGGUGGAUGUCACAUGUACAAGAGCCUAAAUUUAGCCAUCAGAGUGAAACAUGACAUAAACUAACAUCUUGCUUCUUUACCUGGGUCUCCCUUCCAAGAAUAAGUUUGAAGUCACUUAUGUAUGUUAAUUUUUCCAUGCUAACAGCAAUUAUGCAGCUAGGUAGUAGUUAUAAGAUUGGCACGUGCUUUUCUUGUGAAUGCAAAGUAGAUGUGCAUUUUUGAGUGGCGAAUCUCCAAAGCUGCAUUAAUACCACUGAUAGCUUGGGACUGGCAUUUGAUACCAUAUAACCUGGCAAAAAAUAUCUCUGCCCAAAACUGCAAUAGAUGCAGAACCUUGUUCCUAUUUACAAUGUUAAUUACCUGUUCCUUCCUAGCAAGCCACAUGUAGUCACUAUGACCAAAAGUCUUGGAAAUUCAAAGAAAGUUAGCAACUUCUAAAAUCAUCAUGUGUCUGUUGAAGUGAGCUGAGUAACAUUCAAGAAGAGGGAAUUUUCUUAUUACAUGGGAGGGAACCUUCCCCCUUGGGCAUGGUAAGAUGCCACUGCUUUUUUUUGGUGCUCUUAUUAAGUAAUGAGGUACUCUGAAUAGAAGCUGCCUGAUCUAAUGACUUAUUUCAAAUCAAGAGUUUUGUUUUGGGUUUUUUUGGUUUUUUUUUUUUUUUGGUAGAAUGAAUAUCACAGGAAAACAAUGUCUAGCUAGGCUUUAAAGCAAAGACUACUUAUUCUGGUAUGCUAUUUAAUAUCAGAUAUUGGCUUAGGAUAGCUUGAAAUAUCAAAUUAUAAAAAAUCAAGGACAGAACCUCAAAGACUCAGGUUCACUCCAACCUUACUGCUUCUUAUUGAAAUACAGGGUUAUUUAUAUGUACUUAGGACACACCAAUUCAUGAAUUAAGUAUCUGUGGUUAAGAGAACAGAAAUUUUGUAGCUUAAUUCAGCCAACCCUUACAGAAGCUAUGCAUACUUCUAGUGGUUAAUUUAUGUUCUGUGAAGUAGCUGUCAUCUGUGUACUUGAUUCAUUACAAAGCAGUUUUUUCUGUGUACUAUUCUGAUCAUUUGUAUUCAGUUGGGUUCAUAUAUACCAAGUACCAACAUGUGUUAUGAAAAUUUUUAAUACCACUUUCUAGAAGAGAGAAAUUUCUGUCCACCAGUAUGGCUGGGUAUUCUCUAGAAGAGGAUAGUACAGCUGUAAGUGGCUUUGUGGCAUUUUUCUUUUUAACACCAUGGUUAUGUCCUCUCCUUUAAUGCCUAAAGGGCAUAUAAAUUCACAAGGAUCAUAACCUGGACAUUAGCUCAUCAUGUCAUAUUCCUAAUCACUGUUCAAAAGUGCUUUGUUCAGUUCUAACGAUUUGUAACUGAUCUGAUACAGUUAGAAAUCUGUAAUGACGUGACCGGCAUGGUUAAGGAGGAGGGCUGAGCACAUUAGCACAGUAAUAUGAAAAAACAUGGAGCCUUUGUAGUCUAAUGAUGCUCCCAGCACCUAAGUUCUUAAGAGGUGCUAUAAACUUUAAUUGGAGAAAAUUAGCACCUUUACAAGUAGCAAAAUUCGUGGCCACUGAGUUAUCAGUCAGUAAUGGAAAGGAACAAAGAACAGAAGCCAAAGCUGGUAUACCCAAAGGACCAAGAGGAGACAAGCAGAAGGGCUGCUACAGGUGAUAACAGAAAUAUUGCCUGUGUCAAUGAUGAUUAGGUAUCUCAGGGUAUCUCAGAUCUGUUGCUGUAAAUGUCAUAACCCACUCCAUCUAAACCUUUCCCUUCUGCUCAGAUUUUUCACCGGAUGCAUUUUUUCACCAAGGAAGGGGUUUUUCCCCCCCUUUUUUCUCUUGGAAAUAGCAAAGAAAAUACCUGUGUCAGGCCGGCAGCAGUUAACAGAAAGGAUUCCACGGGAAGGGGAGGAGAAGCCAGUUCAAGGGAAACAGGUGUUUUGCAACAGAAGUUUCCACAGGAGCAGAGGCAGCGUGGGAAGAGGAAAGGAUGGGAUCUGUGCAGUAGCCAGUACCGGUGCAAAGCUGUUACAGUCGGUUCUGUCACAGAAGCGAUUCCGUACGGGAAUCGGGAAAGGCUGUCUGGGCUGCCACACCGGGCCGCAGCUGCCGGAGACGGGCGCUCCCGCGCGGCCUGGCCGUAGCCAGAGGCGCCUACUCCCCGAGGAGCCGGGAAGCCCUAAAGCACAGCUGCUCUGGCCUAGUUCCUCGUUGGCCGAUUUGCCAUAUCGCCCUUCUCCUCCCGGCGGCUUCCUGCUGCCGCCUCCUCUCGUCCGCACCGCUCCCCCGCCCGGCGCUUCCCCUUCCCCGUGAGCCCCUCCACGGCGGUGCGGGAUGGGACGGAGCGCUGUACCGACACCG